UACGGGGGGAGCAAGCGUUGUUCGGAUUUACUGGGCGUAAAGGGCGCGUAGGCGGCCACCGCAAGUCGACUGUGAAAUCUCCGGGCUUAACCCGGAACGGUCAGAUGAUACUGCUUUGCUAGAGUGCGGAAGGGGCAAUCGGAAUUCUCGGUGUAGCGGUGAAAUGCGUAGAUAUCGAGAGGAACACCAGAGGUGAAGACGGGUUGCUGGGCCGACACUGACGCUGAUAGCGCGAAAGCCAGGGGAGCAAACGGG
rnacentral:rRNA from 1 species